AAGGUGCUAGUAAAACAGAUAUUACUCUGCCUUGUCAAGGCAGGAUUGUAGGUUGAACCCCUGCGCACCUUG
rnacentral:tRNA from 1 species